UUAGUCUAUGAUUGGAUAAUAUUUACCACAAACAAACGAAAGUGCUACUGUUCCGAAAACUUUUCAAUUUUGGGAACUAAACAAGGCCUUCAUUUUUCCUGGGUCUGGGGUUCCCGUGCGUCCGGGGCCCUGCACCGCACGUGAAUGCUGUCGUGGGACGGCGGCGUUUCCAGGGCAGUGCGGACCCCGGAGGAGCUUUGAGGGUCCGGGGCGGUGCCGACGGCGAGCCACGUCCGCGCGUGCGUCCAAACUCGAAGCGGCAGGUCGAAACGGAAAGGAUCGGGCUAGCGUUGGUCUCGAGCAAGUAUGAG
rnacentral:lncRNA from 1 species